CUUCAGUGAUGAGACGAUGACGAGUCGGAACGGGACUCUUUCUGGUUCUGUGGUGACUGGUUCAGGUCCACGUUUUGUGGCUCUGCUCCAGUUCCUCGGAUCAGGGAGUCUUUUUCGGUUGAAGACAUCGAGGCAUUUGUCUGAGAAGG